CUACGCAGUCGUCUUCCAGCAGAACUGCCCAGGAGGGCCCACGGAAAAUGGAGCGGCUUUUAUCCCACGCACUCGGCACUGGAUCUCUGGAAGGGGAUUCCACACUUUCUGGACUUGGAUUGAUCUUUUUGCACUGUCCCACCCCGAUGGAAAGGGAAAAGCUUUGCCACCAGCCCUGAGGUGAGGACACCCCAGCAUGGAUCUGUGAUUCACACCAGAACAUUUGUGCAAUAAGAAGGAACAAUGGCCCAGCUCCAUUUCUUGUGUAGUCUGCAACUUCCUAACGCGUCUGACACACUGGGAACCCACGCGCAACACGGUGAUGGAAAACUUGGAGACCAAAUGGAAGUGAGGAAAAGCCCUUGGUGUAAUUUUACAGCGUGUGAAAGACUUAAAGCAAGAAACACAGCCAGAUGCCACAAGGAAAGUACUUUCAAUUAGUUCUGCUUUGUGUUAUACCUGCUGAUGAAAAAUAAAAACAAAUUCAUUCUGUCAACAGCUCUAUCUAUAGCAUAAUCCUUAAAUGAACUCAUCCGUCAAACCGGUCUCCUCUGGCAAAACAUAUUACAAUCCCUGUUUCUCAGCUGUGGGAAUCAAUCAUCUCUUUCCCAAACCCAUUGGUCAACAUCUUAAGAACCCAAUAUAUUUUUAUUGCGCUGAACAAGCCAGUCACAGGGCACUAACCUCACCACACCACCUAUGUACAAAGGCCUCAUGUAUUAGCAGAUUCGGUGAUUCCAGAGGAGCUAUUUCCCCGUAGAGGUUACAUGGUAAAUAUGCCUGAUCUGGAAUAAAUGCAAACCUCAGCCUUCUUGCCCCAGCAGCGUAUGUGGGAUGUGCUGCUGCUCACAGCUGGGCAAAGCAAGAGCACCGAGGAACAAACCAGAUUUUUUCUGGGUGGACAGUUCAGGGAGUGAUGUUUGAACCAGGAGACACAGAGACACAGACUUGCACUUUUCAUCAGCCAAAGCUGAUGGCUCUGUUGAAGCUGUGACAGAACCACCCCACCAAAGUGCUGGCAGCAUUCAGAAGCAUUUGCAGUAUUUCUGAGUGGCAAAUGUUCCCCAUCCUCCAUGCAGGAGGACCUUGAAGGGGGGUGAUCUCUUCCCAGUGCUCUGAAGCUUGCUACUGCUCAAGAGC